GGAGGAGGAGGCGGGAGCCGUGUCGCACGCAGCUCCAGGCGGGGCAGCCCCGGCGGCUCAGGGACGCAGCCAGACCUUGGCGGGACGGGGAUUUAACCGGGGCCCAGGCCCAGCGACCAGGUGGAGACGUCGCCGGGGCCAUUACGGCAGCAGGGACAUGCGGGUUUGCCUGCAACGAGAUUUUAUUCUCUACAAUUAAAGGACAUCCUUCUGAGCUGCUGUGAAUAAACUUGGAAUGAUACUGUACAUUUUCAUCUAAUGGAGAAUUAGCUGUACCUUGAGUAAGGAUUGCUGCACUGGACAACCUCAGAAUAUUGCUCACAAUGUCAUCAAACAGGAGUCAGAAUCCCCAUGGGCUGAAGCAGAUUGGCCUUGACCAGAUCUGGGACGACCUCAGAGCUGGGAUCCAGCAGGUGUACACCCGACAGAGCAUGGCCAAGUCCAGAUACAUGGAACUCUACACUCACGUGUACAACUACUGCACAAGUGUUCACCAGUCGAACCAAGCUCGAGGGGCUGGCGUCCCUCCUUCUAAAUCGAAAAAGGGGCAGACUCCUGGCGGAGCUCAAUUUGUUGGCUUGGAAUUAUACAAAAGGCUUAAAGAAUUUUUGAAGAAUUACUUGACAAAUCUUCUUAAGGAUGGAGAAGACUUGAUGGAUGAGAGUGUCCUGAAGUUCUACACUCAGCAGUGGGAAGAUUACCGAUUUUCCAGCAAAGUGCUGAAUGGAAUAUGUGCCUACCUCAAUCGACAUUGGGUUCGCCGUGAAUGUGAUGAGGGACGCAAAGGAAUCUAUGAAAUCUAUUCUCUGGCGUUGGUGACUUGGAGAGAUUGUCUGUUCAGGCCGUUGAAUAAACAGGUAACAAAUGCUGUUUUAAAACUGAUUGAAAAGGAAAGAAAUGGUGAAACCAUCAAUACAAGACUGAUUAGUGGAGUUGUGCAGUCUUACGUGGAAUUGGGGCUGAAUGAAGACGAUGCAUUUGCCAAGGGCCCUACGUUAACAGUGUAUAAAGAAUCCUUUGAGUCUCAGUUUUUGGCUGACACAGAGAGAUUUUAUACCAGAGAGAGUACGGAAUUCUUGCAGCAGAACCCAGUUACUGAAUAUAUGAAAAAGGCAGAGGCCCGCCUGCUCGAGGAACAGCGAAGAGUGCAGGUUUAUCUCCACGAAAGCACCCAGGACGAACUAGCAAGGAAGUGUGAGCAAGUGCUCAUCGAGAAGCAUUUGGAAAUCUUCCACACAGAAUUUCAGAACUUGCUGGAUGCUGACAAAAACGAAGAUUUGGGUCGCAUGUAUAAUCUUGUAUCUAGAAUCCAGGAUGGCCUAGGAGAAUUGAAAAAACUGCUGGAGACGCACAUUCACAAUCAGGGUCUCGCAGCAAUCGAAAAGUGUGGAGAAGCUGCUUUAAACGACCCCAAAAUGUAUGUCCAGACCGUGUUGGAUGUUCAUAAAAAGUACAACGCCCUGGUCAUGUCUGCAUUCAACAACGACGCGGGCUUCGUGGCCGCACUGGACAAGGCUUGUGGUCGCUUCAUAAACAACAACGCCGUCACCAAAAUGGCUCAGUCGUCCAGUAAGUCCCCUGAGCUGCUGGCCCGGUACUGCGACUCCUUGUUGAAGAAGAGUUCCAAGAACCCAGAAGAAGCAGAACUAGAAGAUACGCUCAAUCAAGUGAUGGUCGUCUUCAAGUACAUAGAGGACAAAGACGUGUUCCAGAAGUUCUACGCGAAGAUGCUGGCCAAGAGGCUCGUACACCAGAACAGUGCGAGUGAUGACGCCGAAGCCAGCAUGAUCUCUAAAUUAAAGCAAGCCUGCGGCUUUGAGUACACCUCUAAGCUUCAGCGGAUGUUUCAAGACAUCGGUGUGAGCAAAGAUUUGAAUGAGCAGUUCAAAAAGCACCUGACGAAUUCGGAACCACUGGACUUGGAUUUCAGUAUUCAGGUUCUGAGUUCCGGAUCGUGGCCCUUCCAGCAGUCGUGCACAUUUGCCUUGCCUUCGGAGUUGGAACGUAGUUAUCAGCGAUUCACAGCUUUUUACGCCAGCCGUCACAGUGGCAGAAAAUUGACAUGGUUAUAUCAGCUGUCUAAAGGAGAACUAGUGACAAACUGCUUCAAAAACAGAUACACUUUGCAGGCCUCCACGUUCCAGAUGGCGAUUCUGCUUCAGUACAACACAGAGGACGCGUACGCGGUGCAGCAGCUCACGGACAGCACGCAGAUCAAAAUGGACAUUUUGGCACAAGUCCUACAGAUUUUAUUGAAGUCGAAGUUAUUGGUCUUGGAAGACGAAAAUGCAAAUGUUGAUGAGGUGGAAUUGAAACCAGAUACCUUAAUAAAAUUAUAUCUUGGUUAUAAAAAUAAGAAAUUAAGGGUUAACAUUAAUGUGCCGAUGAAAACCGAGCAGAAGCAGGAACAAGAAACCACACAUAAAAAUAUUGAGGAAGACCGCAAACUACUGAUUCAGGCAGCUAUCGUGAGAAUUAUGAAGAUGAGGAAGGUUUUGAAACACCAGCAGCUCCUUGGAGAAGUUCUCACGCAGCUGUCGUCACGGUUCAAGCCUCGGGUCCCAGUAAUUAAGGUACAAGAAUGACGUAGCAGAAGCGUUCAGUUUAUCCUUUUACAAGAGAAAAGAUGGUACGAAAAGUAGGUUGCUUACUGUUCUGUAAGGAAGGAGCUUGGUUUAGUGCUUAAACUCGUAUUGAAAUGUAGGCUGAGAAGUCUCCCGCCUGCUGGCCCGUCCUGUAGGGCGCCCGCAGCUCCAGGCGGAGGGCUGGUGGCCGGCCUGGCAGCCCCACCCGCCUGCCUCCCGUGGGGUCCCCAGGACACUGCUCACAGCAGCAGUUGGCCUACCUCUGCAUUCUCAAGAAACGGGGUUCCCACUCUCCUUUGUGCGCUGGGAUGUUCUCAGCUUCACGUCAGAGAGAGCCGUCUCUUGUCACCUGUCACCGAGUGUCCGUCCUUACUGCUGUGGGGCACGCUCCAGUCUGCAACCACAGCGACUGGUGGCAGCCAUGUGACAGCUGCGGUUGUUUCCCCUUUCUGAACCCUGUGGGUGGGCGGCACUUAGCUCCUGCGUCGCAUUCAGAGCCCCCAGGACUAGUUGUUAGCCUGCUGGUGACGUCAAAGCGUUGGCAGCCCGGGAAGUAAAACUGCACGCCAAGGGGUGUAUGACGUGUAUGACGUGACCUUGCUCCCUCCCCACUGAGCUGUCAGGUCGGGGAGAAUCCAGCUGACGGUGGUCUGUCUCUCUUCUGAUAAUAAAUCUGUUUUUCUUCCCUUUCACUACCUCUUCUUUUUAAAAAAA